UACGGGGGGGGCAAGCGUUGUUCGGAAUUACUGGGCGUAAAGGGCUCGUAGGGGGCCAACUAAGUCAGACGUGAAAUCCCUCGGCUUAACCGGGGAACUGCGUCUGAUACUGGAAGGCUUGAAUCCGGGAGAGGGAUGUGGAAUUCCAGGUGUAGCGGUGAAAUGCGUAGAUAUCUGGAGGAACACCGGUGGCGAAGGCGACAUCCUGGACCGGUAUUGACGCUGAGGCGCGAAAGCUAGGGGAGCAAACGGG
rnacentral:rRNA from 1 species